rnacentral:rRNA from 1 species
CAUGCAAGUCGAACGGAGAUUACAGGCGGAAGUUUUCGGAUGGAAGCUUGUAAACUUAGUGGCGGACGGGUGAGUAACACGUGAGCAACCUGCCUAUCAGAGGGGGAUAACGAUUGGAAACGAUCGCUAAUACCGCAUGACAUAGCGGAAUCGCAUGGUUCUGUUAUCAAAGAUUUUAUCGCUGAUAGAUGGGCUCGCGUCCGAUUAGAUAGUUGGUGGGGUAACGGCCUACCAAGUCGACGAUCGGUAGCCGGACUGAGAGGUCGAACGGCCACAUUGGGACUGAGACACGGCCCAGACUCCUACGGGAGGCAGCAGUGGGGGAUAUUGCACAAUGGGGGAAACCCUGAUGCAGCGACGCCGCGUGAGGGAAGACGGUCCUCUGGAUUGUAAACCUCUGUCUUCGGGGACGAAACGAGACGGUACCCGAGGAGGAAGCCACGGCUAACUACGUGCCAGCAGCCGCGGUAAUACGUAGGUGGCAAGCGUUGUCCGGAAUUACUGGGUGUAAAGGGAGCGUAGGCGGGCAGGCAAGUCAGGCGUGAAAUAUAUCGGCUCAACCGGUAACGGCGCUUGAAACUGCAGGUCUUGAGUGAAGUAGAGGUUGGCGGAAUUCCUAGUGUAGCGGUGAAAUGCGUAGAUAUUAGGAGGAACACCAGUGGCGAAGGCGGCCAACUGGGCUUUUACUGACGCUGAGGCUCGAAAGUGUGGGGAGCAAACAGGAUUAGAUACCCUGGUAGUCCACACCGUAAACGAUGAUUACUAGGUGUGGGGGGACUGACCCCUUCCGUGCCGGAGUU